GAUGAACGCUAGCGGCAGGCCUAACACAUGCAAGUCGAGGGGUAACUAGAGUGAUAGCAAUAUUACUUUGGCUAGACCGGCGCACGGGUGCGUAACACGUAUGCAACCUACCUUAUACUGGGGAAUAACUUCGAGAAAUCGGCGCUAAUACCCCAUAACAUUGCGAAGAGGCAUCUCUUUGCAAUUAAAGCUCCGGCGGUAUAAGAUGGGCAUGCGUCCAAUUAGCUAGUUGGUGAGGUAACGGCUCACCAAGGCUACGAUUGGUAGGGGUUCUGAGAAGAGGAUCCCCCACACUGGUACUGAGACACGGACCCGACUCCUACGGGAGGCAGCAUUGAGGAAUAUUGCGCAAUGGACGAAAGUCUGACGCAGCCAUGCCGCGUGCAGGAUGACGGCCCUAUGGGUUGUAAACUGCUUUUGUACGGGAAUAAAGCCUUCUACGUGUAGGAGGCUGAAGGUACCGUAAGAAUAAGCACCGACUAACUCCGUGCCAGCCGCCGCGGUAAUAC
rnacentral:rRNA from 1 species